rnacentral:RNase_P_RNA from 1 species
GCAGAAGAGAGGUCUGUCGCUUCAUGCCGGGCGCAUGAAGAGGAAAGUCCGGGCAACUCAGAGCACCAUACUUGGUAACGUCAAGCCGGCGGCGACGUCGGGGCGAAUGUGACAGAAAACUACCGCCGGAAAAUCUUUCGGGGUUUGCCGGUAAGGGUGAAAAGGCGGGGUAAGAGCCCACCGGGUGCCGUGGCGACACGGCAUGCCGCACAUCCUAUGGGUUGCAAGGCCAAAUACACCGGCAGCUAAGGGCUGCUCGUCCAUUGCCGGGGGGUAGGCUGCUCNGCGCUUAUGCGCCGGAGCCGUCUGGCGACAGACGGUCAAGAUAAAUGACAGACAGGGCUGCCCCUUAUCNAGGGGUGUCGCCCUACAUAACCCGGCUUAUAUCCCUUCUGCUUUU